GACGAACGCUGGCGGCGUGGAUUAGGCAUGCAAGUCGAACGGUAGGAUACCUUCGGGUAUCUGAGAGUGGCGAACGGGUGAGUAACACGUAGGUGAUCUACCCUCAAGAUUGGGACAACCCAGGGAAACUUGGGCUAAUACCGGAUGAAAGCAGCAGCGAUGUUGUUUGAAAGGUGGCGUAAGCUGCCGUUUGGGGAUGAGCCUGCGCUCUAUUAGUUAGUUGGCGGGGUAAAGGCCCACCAAGGCGAUGAUAGAUAGGCGGCCUUAACGGGUGGUCGCCCACACUGGGAUUGAGAUACGGCCCAGACUCCUACGGGAGGCAGCAGUCGAGAAUAGUCUACAAUGGCCGAAAGGCUGAUAGUGCGACGCCGCGUGAACGAAGAAGCCCUUCGGGGUGUAAAGUUCUUUUAUAUGUGAGCAGUGCUUUCUAUGUGAACAGCAUAGGGAGAGAGAUAUUAGCAUAUGAAUAAGCAACGGCUAACUCCGUGCCAGCAGCCG
rnacentral:rRNA from 1 species